rnacentral:rRNA from 1 species
CCCAUCCCCAAUUCCUCCCCCUCUUCCUUCUCUGGACGACCUCCCCCGCAGACGCAGCCGCCGCCGCACAGCCUGCGCCUCCACCCAUUCUCUCCUCCCCUCCACCGCCAACCUCCUCCCAUUCCUCUCUCCCAGAUUGAGCAGCAGGUCCGGAUCAAUGGCCACGGUGGCGUGAGCGCCACGAUGCAUCACGGCCACGCAAGGAGGAAGCUCGAUGUGGAUCUGACCCUGGUGCCGACACCAUGAACAAGAAUAUGGAUGGAGGAUGGGGAAUACAUGCAGAAGGCGGAAGCUCCAUGCUCAGCUCAGCUCUCAACUACACUGCUCUAAGACUACUUGGUGAGAAUGUCGAUGAUGAGCAAGAUAUGUCCGUGCCAAAAACAAGGAAAUGGAUACAUGACCAUGGUGGUGCAAUGAUGAUAAAACUGGAAGCAAGAUGCUUGGAUUUUUUGACAGGUCAGGUGUAAACCCUACCCCCCAGAAUUGUUCCUUCUGCCAUCCUUGGUUCCUAUUCAACUAGUAUUUGAUAUAUCCUGGGUAUGGAUGGUUUGUUCGAAGAAUGUUCCAGAAUUUGUGAAUCUUACUGUACAACAAUCAACACGAAUGCUGAAACAUUGAUUCUUGCUGAAGAGCGGCCACGCCAUGCACCAGCGAGAUCCGUGUGUGGAGUGCAGUUGAGCAAGAGUCGAUUCUAGGCGAGGUGUGUCACAUUGGUCUUCUGCUUCUCGCCGUCUAGCCUCACCGCCAAGCGGCCAGAUCCACACGAGGUGACAAUGCUAGAUACAUCUGUAUCAUGGCACUUCUCCAGCAAACAAAAGCUUGGUGGCCAUCUACUUUACUUCCAGAGAGUUUGAAAACGUACUAUCACGCUAAUAUUUAGUAGAAAUGUAUGACAAAAAAAUAGUUAGAUGGUAUUACUAUGUAUACAUGUAUACCCAAAAAUAGCUUUACAGGUCUGCUGUUGCUUUAAUAUGUUGUAGUUUCUCUGUACAUUCUUAUGCUAGAUUUUGUUGUUCCCAUGUGACAUACUUCUAAAAUUCAGGUCCUUUGAACAUAUCAGCUUUUCUCACUUAUUCAGAUUAAUGCUAAGUGUUUUUUCUCUUGUAUACUGAUCUACAAAAUUACAAUUGAGAUAUUUUCCUCCUCUAUUUUUCUUCUUGUCACCGUAGCAGCUCUUAAUUCCUUUUGAGGUCCACCAAGAUAAUGCAAUAAUCCCUGGAAAAUAUGUUCUGUACUUAAAUAGACAUCAGACUGAAGAAUAGAAGGGUUGGAUGCAAGUAUUUUCAUAGUUGAUCUCCCUUUUGUCAUCUUUUCUGGCUUUUAUUCCACUACUCCCCAGUCAUGCAUGAAUGCUAAUACAUCAGAUUUAUGCAGUCAAAAUGUUUGACUAUUCAAUUAUACAUGUCAUGCUGCAGUGCUUACUUUCUUACCCCCUUCAGUAAGUGCUGCAAGACCAAACAUCGUUUUACACAUUUGUUUUUGUAAUGAUAGCAUUGACUUUGUUUUUUUCUGCUGCUUACUGAUGCAGAACCUGAGUUGCGGGUUACCGAACCUGAUGAAAACGGAAGUCACUCCGGCAGAGAUGUAGUGUUGUGCCAAUUUGAGGUUGAUGGGGUUAAUGAGGAAAAGGAUUAUGAACUAUGUGUAGAAAUUACCCAGUAUUGCUAUGCCAAGAAAGCAAGAUAGUCGAUGGUGGCAAGAAGCCAUGAACCAUCACUCUGCUAUUACUGAACAAGAUGAUAUCUAUUUGGGUAAGUUUAGAGUUGGAAAUGUUUAUAUUCUAUUAAAGGUUUAUCUCUAGAACAUUUAUUUUGUCAAGAGAUGAGCCCUUGCAGGUUCUGAAUAUGUACGUGGAUGAUCUUCAAAUACCUAGAUGAUCAUUCUUUAUAUACCUGGAUAAUUAUUCCGCAUAAACAAAGCCGCACUAUCAUAUUAACAC